CGCGGGAAUCGAUUAGAGUUUGAUCAUGGCUCAGGACGAACGCUGGCGGCGUGCCUAAUACAUGCAAGUCGAGCGGAUCUUCAUUAGCUUGCUUUUGAAGAUCAGCGGCGGACGGGUGAGUAACACGUGGGCAACCUGCCUGUAAGACUGGGAUAACUUCGGGAACCGGAGCUAAUACCGGAUAAUCCUUUCCCUCACAUGAGGGAAAGCUGAAAGACGGUUUCGGCUGUCACUUACAGAUGGGCCCGCGGCGCAUUAGCUAGUUGGUGAGGUAACGGCUCACCAAGGCAACGAUGCGUAGCCGACCUGAGAGGGUGAUCGGCCACACUGGGACUGAGACACGGCCCAGACUCCUACGGGAGGCAGCAGUAGGGAAUCUUCCGCAAUGGACGAAAGUCUGACGGAGCAACGCCGCGUGAGCGAUGAAGGCCUUCGGGUCGUAAAGCUCUGUUGUCAGGGAAGAACAAGUACCGGAGUAACUGCCGGUACCUUGACGGUACCUGACCAGAAAGCCACGGCUAACUACGUGCCAGCAGCCGCGGUAAUACGUAGGUGGCAAGCGUUGUCCGGAAUUAUUGGGCGUAAAGCGCGCGCAGGCGGUUCCUUAAGUCUGAUGUGAAAGCCCCCGGCUCAACCGGGGAGGGUCAUUGGAAACUGGGGAACUUGAGUGCAGAAGAGGAGAGCGGAAUUCCACGUGUAGCGGUGAAAUGCGUAGAGAUGUGGA
rnacentral:rRNA from 1 species